UACGGCGAAGUGAAGCGGCAAAAGCUCAAUUUGAAAACGCUUCGGCGUGUUGUAAGUAAAUUAGGUUAGACGCUUUUUAAUAAGUCCCUUGGAACAGGGCGCCAUAGAGGGUGAUAGCCCCGUAUUAAAUUGUCUAGUGUGCUACUUUAGAGCGAGUCGAGUGUUUGGGAAUUGACUCCCCAAGAGUCGAGUUGUUUGGGAACGCGGCUCACCUAGGGUGGUAAAUUCCAUCUAAAGCUAAAUAUUGGCGAGAGACCGAUAGCGAACAAGUACCGUGAGGGAAAGAUGAAAAGGACUUUGGAAAGAAAGUUAACAGCACGUGAAAUUGUUGGAAGGGAAACGCUUGAAGUCAGACUUGCUUGCCGAGCCAUCGGUUUGCAUGCCGGCAUCAUUUUUCCGGGAUGCAUAAUGGUAGAGAGAAGGCAGCACUUUCGGCUGUGUUAUAGCUCUCUGCUGGAUACAUCUUGGGGCACUGAGGAACGCAGUGUGCCUUUGGCGGGAGUUUCGACCUCUUCACACUUAGGAUGC
rnacentral:rRNA from 1 species